UGGGGAAUCUUCCGCAAUGGACGAAAGUCUGACGGAGCAACGCCGCGUGAGUGAAGAAGGCCUUCGGGUCGUAAGCUCUGUUAUUCGGGACGAACGUGCCCUAUGUGAACAAUAUGGGGUAAUGACGGUACCGAAGGAGGAAGCCACGGCUAACUACGUGCCAGCAGCCGCGGUAAUACGUAGGUGGCGAGCGUUGUCCGGAAUUAUUGGGCGUAAAGCGCGCGCAGGUGGGAUAGUAAGUCUUUUGUAAAAGUGCGGGGCUCAACCCCGUAAUGCGACGGAUACUGCUAUUCUUGAGUGCAGGAGAGGAAAGCGGAAUUCCCAGUGUAGCGGGGAAAUGCGUAGAUAUUGGGAGGAACACCAGUGGCGAAGGCGGCUUUCUGGACUGUGUCUGACACUGAGGCGCGAAAGCCAGGGGAGCGAACG
rnacentral:rRNA from 1 species